UAUGUAUUCACCGACUGUUAUUCAUCUAUUCGUGCUGUUACUAGUGUGCGAUGCAAAAUCGGUGGGACCUCGCGGUGCCAUAACUCUUGACACAGUUAAAACAUGUGAGGACAAUCCAGGAGGGGAGGUUGAGUUGGAAUUAAAUCUUUAUAGUUUGGACUCUAAAGGUGCAAAGGCAAUAUCCUUAACAAUCAAUAGCACAAUUCCACUUGAUGACUCCUUAACUUAUAUCAUGGAAGUUCAAAGAUGGGAUGGGGGAUGGAAAUUAGAAUAUACGCACACCUCAUUGCUAUGUGCAGAUAUUACUCGUUUUGUGCCAAAUAUAUGGAAACGGCUUGCGGAGGCCAGUGAGCCAAAGCUGCCUGAAAAAUGUGGUGUAGAACCAGGUUACUACGUCGUAAAGGAAUAUACAGCAUUGGCCAUGGAUUUUGCAGUACCUUACGUUUACUACGGAGAGAUAAUGUUGAAAGUAUCGAUCUUUCAAGGUCGUAAAUUAAUCUUAUGCUUCUUUGUUAAGGGAAAUUCGCAAAUACCGCAGAAACCCUUUUAAAUUUUGGAAUUGUGAAAUUCUGAAUGUGAUUAUUCCUUGUUAUUUCGCAGAGUAUAGGUAAAAAUAAACUCUAGCAGCUCUUUUA